UACGGAGGGUGCAAACGUUGCUCGGAAUCAUUGGGCGUAAAGGGCACGUAGGCUGGCUGUUAAGUCGGUGGUGAAAUGCUGAGGCUCAACCUCAGAAUUGCCUUCGAUACUGACGGUCUUGAGUGCGGGAGAGGUGAGUGGAAUUCCCAGUGUAGAGGUGAAAUUCGUAGAUAUUGGGAAGAACACCAGUGGCGAAGGCGGCUCACUGGCCCGCAACUGACGCUGAGGUGCGAAAGCGUGGGGAGCAAACAGG
rnacentral:rRNA from 1 species